rnacentral:misc_RNA from 1 species
UACUUUCUCUAGCUCCUCCAGUUGGGGGCCCUGU